rnacentral:rRNA from 1 species
GUGGGGAAUCUUCCGCAAUGGACGAAAGUCUGACGGAGCAACGCCGCGUGAGUGAAGAAGGUUUUCGGAUCGUAAAGCUCUUUCGUUAGGGACGAACGUGCUCUUUGUGAAUAAUGAGGAGUAAUGACGGUACCUAAAUAAGAAGCCACGGCUAACUACGUGCCAGCAGCCGCGGUAAUACGUAGGUGGCAAGCGUUGUCCGGAAUUAUUGGGCGUAAAGCGCGCGCAGGCGGGAUAUCAAGUCUGUCUUAAAAGUGCGAGGCUCAACCUCGUGAGGGGACAGAAACUGGUAUUCUUGAGUGUCGGAGAGGAAAGUGGAAUUCCAAGUGUAGCGGUGAAAUGCGUAGAGAUUUGGAAGAACACCAGUGGCGAAGGCGACUUUCUGGACGAUGUCUGACGCUGAGGCGCGAAAGCUAGGGGAGCGAACGGGAUUAGAUACCGUGUAGUCC